UUACUCCGGGGUUGUGUAAGUACAGUCUGGUGAAGUCAGGUACACUCUACCUCUCAGUACAUUCUCCCCGCGUACCCCAAAUAGUACCUCAGCCUCCCUAUGGCCUCCUGGAUGAAAUUUCUAAGGCGUAAUAAGGUAGUGAUAAUCUUUCCGCUGUUCACUGCUGCUGCCAUCACCGCUGACUUGGUACACACCAGACGCUGGAAGGCACAGAAGGCUGCUGCCGCUUCCCCCGGGACCCCUCUACCUGGAUAAGGUCUGGGUAGGGCCACGUAGUCUUUCCAAGGUCCGUCUUACCCCUUACGUCCUCUGGUAGCAAGGAUGUUCUUCAACCACGUAAAGAUCGACCGCAAGCUGAUGCUGGGGAUCUUGGUGCCUCUCACUGGGUACUACCUUGGCUCACUGCUGGACCGUACUGAGACCAACAGGCUCGUCAUGUUCAGAGACAAGUCAGCGCUGUACGGCCGAGAGCUGGCACCUGGAGAGAAACCUUCAUGGCCUUAACCGCCACCACCACUACCUCCCCUACCAGCCCUGUGCCACCCCUACCCCCUCUCUGUACAGCCUUGUAUAGCUAUGAUGAUUAAAGAGUAAAAUUUGUGAGUAA